rnacentral:sRNA from 1 species
CGCUUUCGUUUUAAGUGAUUUAAAUAGAAAACAAACCCGCAGCACUUGUUGACCGGACUUAUCGAGCAAAUAUACCGAAAUAUACCGAUCAUCAUAUUUUUUAUCUGUGCAUAAAAAAGACCCGGUAUAUUGCACCCAAGCUGCGUAAACUGCGAGACCAACGCUUUCGGAUAAACUUUUGAAUUCGAAUUUUCGCUUUCGAUAUGUGUCUGAUAUUUUUCUUUCCGAUAUAUAUUGGCAGAAAAUACUCUUUCUCUCGACCGGAGAGGUCUGUACGAAUGGCUGUGGGGUUCGUGGCGCGAAGGGGGAAAAUGGAAACAUAUGAAAUUGUUUAUGAGUUGCCAAGCUAAACCAGAAUUUUCCGCAUUACCUUGACCUUUGCUUCUGCUUGCCAUUAACUGUACUUCUGUAUAACUGUAUACCGACUAUAUUUUGAUUAUAAAAAUACCUGCAGAACUCCUUAACGAGCGCCUGUGAUGUCGAUCCAUACCAAUUUAACAAACAAUAAAUACUAAUAA